GAUGAACGCUGGCGGCGUGCCUAAUACAUGCAAGUCGAGCGAACAGACGAGGAGCUUGCUCCUCUGACGUUAGCGGCGGACGGGUGAGUAACACGUGGAUAACCUACCUAUAAGACUGGGAUAACUUCGGGAAACCGGAGCUAAUACCGGAUAAUAUAUUGAACCGCAUGGUUCAAUAGUGAAAGACGGUUUUGCUGUCACGUAUAGAUGGAUCCGCGCCGCAUUAGCUAGUUGGUAAGGUAACGGCUUACCACGGCAACGAUGCGUAGCCGACCUGAGAGAGUGAUCGGCCACACUGGAACUGAGACACGGUCCAGACUCCUACGGGAGGCAGCAGUAGGGAAUCUUACGCAAUGGGCGAAAGCAUGACGGAGCAACGCCGAGUGAGUGAUGAAGGUCUUCGGAUCGUAAAACUCUGUUAUUAGGGAAGAACCAAUGUGUCAGUAACUAUGCACGUAUUGACGGUACCUAAUAAGAAAGCAACGGCUAACUACGUG
rnacentral:rRNA from 1 species